rnacentral:rRNA from 1 species
GUUGAACGCUGGCGGCGUGCCUAACACAUGCAAGUCGAGCGAACAGACGAGGAGCUUUCUCUCUUUACUUUCGCGUCGCACGGGUGAGUAUCAUGUGGGUAACCUUCCUUUAUGACUGGGGUAACUUCGUGAAACCGGUGCUAAUUCCGGCUUAUAUAUUCAACCGCAUGGUUCAGUAGUUAAGGGCGUCUUUCCUUCCACUUUUCGCUGAUGCCGUUCCGGAUUAGCUAGUUGGUAAGGUAACGGCUUACCAAGGCAACGAUGCGUAGCCGACCUGAGAGGAUGAUCAGCCACACUGGAACUGAGGCACGGUCCAGACUCCUACGGGAGGCAGCAGUAGGGAAUAUUGCGCAAUGGGCGAAAGCCUGACGGAGCAACGCCGCGUGAAUGAAGAAGGCCUUCGGAUCGUAAAGCACUGUUAGUAGGGAGGAACAAAUGAGUAAGAAAAUAUGCACGUAUUGACGGUACCUGAACAGAAAGCAACGGCUAACUACGUG